UACGUAGGUGGCGAGCGUUGUCCGGAUUUACUGGGCGUAAAGGGCUUGUAGGCGGUCCGUUAAGUCCGAUGUGAAAUCUCCCGGCUCAACUGGGAGAGGUCAUUGGAUACUGGCGGACUAGAGGGGGGUAGAGGAAAGCAGAAUUCCUGGUGUAGCGGUGAAAUGCGUAGAUAUCAGGAGGAAUACCAGUGGCGAAGGCGGCUUUCUGGGCCUACCCGGACGCUGAGGAGCGAAAGCGUGGGGAGCAAACCGG
rnacentral:rRNA from 1 species